rnacentral:rRNA from 1 species
AGUGGCAGACGGGUGAGUAACAUGUGGGUAUCUACCCUUUGGCCUGGAAUAACACGAGGAAACUUGUGCUAAUACCGGAUAAGUCUUUACGGAGAAAGCUUUAUGCACCAUUGGAUGAGCCCGCACUUGAUUAGUUUGUUGGUAGGGUAAUGGCCUACCAAGACUAUGAUCAAUAGCUGAUUUGAGAGGAUGAUCAGCCACAUUGGGACUGAGACACGGCCCAAACUCCUACGGGAGGCAGCAGUGGGGAAUCUUGCACAAUGGAGGAAACUCUGAUGCAGCGAUGCCGCGUGAGUGAAGAAGGCCUUUGGGUUGUAAAGCUCUUUCGUCGGGGAAGAAAAUGACUGUACCCGAAUAAGAAGGUCCGGCUAACUUCGUGCCAGCAGCCGCGGUAAUACGAAGGGACCUAGCGUAGUUCGGAAUUACUGGGCUUAAAGAGUUCGUAGGUGGUUGAAAAAGUUAGUGGUGAAAUCCCAGAGCUUAACUCUGGAACUGCCAUUAAAACUUUUCAGCUAGAGUAUGAUAGAGGAAAGCAGAAUUUCUAGUGUAGAGGUGAAAUUCGUAGAUAUUAGAAAGAAUACCAAUUGCGAAGGCAGCUUUCUGGAUCAUUACUGACACUGAGGAACGAAAGCAUGGGUAGCGAAGAGGAUUAGAUACCCUUGUAGUCCAUGCCGA